AUUACGGGGUGCAGCAGGCGCGAAAACUCCGCAAUGCGCGAAAGCGUGACGGGGCUACCCCGAGUGCCGUCCGCUGAGGAUGGCUUUUUCCCGGUGUAAUGAGCCGGGUGAAUAAGGAGAGGGCAAGUCUGGUGUCAGCCGCCGCGGUAAUACCAGCUCUCCGAGUGGUAGGGAUGAUUAUUUGGCUUAAAGCGUCCGUAGCCGGCCCGGCAAGUCUCCCGUUAAAUCCAGCGACCUAAUCGUUGGGCUGCAGGAGAUACUGUUGGGCUAGGAGGCGGGAGAGGCCGACGGUAUUCCCGGGGUAGGGGUGAAAUCCUAUAAUCCUGGGAGGACCACCAGUGGCGAAGGCUGUCGGCUAGAACGCGCUCGACGGUGAGGGACGAAAGCUGGGGGAGCGAACCGGAUUAGAUACCCGGGUAGUCCCAGCUGUAAACGAUGCGGGCUAGGUGUUGGGGUGGCUACGAGCCACUUCAGUGCCGCAGGGAAGCCAUUAAGCCCGCCGCCUGGGGAGUACGGCCGCAAGGCUGAAACUUAAAGGAAUUGGCGGGGGAGCACAAU
rnacentral:rRNA from 1 species